CACGUAGGGUGCGAGCGUUGUCCGGAAUUAUUGGGCGUAAAGAGCUCGUAGGCGGUGUGUCGCGUCGGCCGUGAAAACUUGGGGCUUAACUCUGAGCGUGCGGUCGAUACGGGCAUCACUUGAGUUCGGCAGGGGAGACUGGAAUUCCUGGUGUAGCGGUGAAAUGCGCAGAUAUCAGGAGGAACACCGGUGGCGAAGGCGGGUCUCUGGGCCGAUACUGACGCUGAGGAGCGAAAGCAUGGGGAGCAAACAGG
rnacentral:rRNA from 1 species